rnacentral:rRNA from 1 species
GACGAACGCUGGCGGCGUGCUUAACACAUGCAAGUCGAACGGAAAGGCCCUGCUUUUGUGGGGUGCUCGAGUGGCGAACGGGUGAGUAACACGUGAGUAACCUGCCCUUGACUUUGGGAUAACUUCAGGAAACUGGGGCUAAUACCGGAUAGGAGCUCCUGCUGCAUGGUGGGGGUUGGAAAGUUUCGGCGGUUGGGUAUGGACUCGCGGCUUAUCCGCUUGUUGGUGGGGUAGUUGCUUACCAAGGCUUUGACGGGUAGCCGGCCUGUGAGGGUGACCGGCGACAUGGGGACUGAGAUACGGAGCAGACGACUACGGGAGGCAGCAGUGGGGAAGAUUGCACAAUGGGCGGAAGCCUGAUGAAGAAACGCCGCGUGCGGGAUGACGGCAUUCGGGUUGUAAACCGCUUUAGCCUGUGACGAAGCGUGAGUGACGGUAAUGGGUAAAGAAGCACCGGCUAACUACGUG